UUGAUUACGUCCCUGCCCUUUGUACACACCGCCCGUCGCUGCCCGGGACUGAGCCGUUUCGAGAAAAGCGGAGACUGCUGUUUCGAUACCUUUCGGGGUGGAGAUUCUUUGGUGGAAACCGCUUUAAUCGCAGUGGCUUGAACCGGGCAUAAGUCGUAACAAGGUUUCCGUAGGUGAACCUGCGGAAGGAUCAUUA
rnacentral:rRNA from 1 species